CUACGGGUCGCUCCAGUGGGGAAUAUUGCACAAUGGGCGCAAGCCUGAUGCAGCCAUGCCGCGUGUAUGAAGAAGGCCUUCGGGUUGUAAAGUACUUUCAGCGGGGAGGAAGGGAGUAAAGUUAAUACCUUUGCUCAUUGACGUUACCCGCAGAAGAAGCACCGGCUAACUCCGUGCCAGCAGCCGCGGUAAUACGGAGGGUGCAAGCGUUAAUCGGAAUUACUGGGCGUAAAGCGCACGCAGGCGGUUUGUUAAGUCAGAUGUGAAAUCCCCGGGCUCAACCUGGGAACUGCAUCUGAUAAUGGCAAGCUUGAGUCUCGUAGAGGGGGGUGGAAUUCCAGGUGUAGCGGUGAAAUGCGUAGAGAUCUGGAGGAAUACCGGUGGCGAAGGCGGCCCCCUGGACGAAGACUGACGCUCAGGUGCGAAAGCGUGGGGAGCAAACAGGAUUAGAUACCCCUGUAGUC
rnacentral:rRNA from 1 species